UGUCCCCGCGCACCGUCCAAUUAAUAAUCACCCACGUUGACGUAGGCUUCCUUCUUUGUUUCAUCCGGUAUCUUUGUUAUUCGUCGGCAGAUUGUGGGGGAAAGAGAGAGCGAGGGGUCGCGGAGUGGGAGGGCGGGAAUCAUGGAGACGGAUUCCGACGCCACGGCCCCCGCGAUGAAGAAUAUCUUCGGCGGCCGGACGGUGAAGGUGAUCCCGUUCCAGCACGCGUCGACUUCGUCGUCGCAGCAGCAGCAGCCGUCGGCGACGCUGGUGGCCAGAUGGGGGGCGAAGCUGCGGGCGAUGACGGCCUUGGAGUGGAUGGAGCUCUUCCUCCCGUGCUCCCGCUGGAUCCGGACCUACCGCUGGCGGGAGUACCUCCAGGUCGACCUCAUGUCCGGCCUUACCGUCGGUGUCAUGCUCGUCCCUCAGGCAAUGUCAUAUGCAAAGUUGGCAGGGCUUCAUCCAAUAUAUGGACUUUAUUCAGGUUUUGUUCCAAUAUUCAUAUAUGCUUUAUUUGGAUCAUCACGUCAACUAGCAAUUGGUCCGGUGGCAUUAGUAUCGCUCUUGGUGUCUAAUGUCUUGAGCAACAUAGUAGAACCUUCUAAUGAGCUGUACACUGAGCUUGCAAUAUUGUUGGCACUGAUGGUUGGCAUAUUGGAAUGUCUCAUGGGUUUGCUAAGGCUUGGGUGGCUUAUUCGAUUUAUUAGUCAUUCUGUAAUAUCUGGCUUCACUACUGCUUCCGCCAUUUCAAUCGCCUUGUCUCAAGCCAAAUACUUCUUGGGGUAUGAUAUAGCACGAAGCAGUGAAAUUAUACCGCUAAUUAGAAGCAUAAUUGCUGGCUUUGGUGAAUUCUCAUGGCCGCCCUUCGUGAUGGGGUCAAUUUUUCUUGCGGUUCUUCUCCUGAUGAAGCACUUGGGUAAAUCCAAGAAGUGUUUGCGAUGGUUAAGAGCAGCUGGCCCCCUUACAGCGGUUGUACUGGGCACAACUUUUGUGAAAUUAUUUCAUCCAUCUUCAAUUUCAGUGGUUGGUGAAAUACCCCAGGGCCUUCCAAAGUUCUCAAUACCUAGUGGAUUUCAGCAUGUGAAAUCUCUACUUUCAACUGCAGCUCUCAUCACUGGUGUGGCCAUUUUGGAAUCUGUGGGGAUUGCUAAAGCUUUGGCUGCAAAGAAUGGUUAUGAGUUAGACUCAAAUCAAGAGUUGUUUGGGCUAGGCGUGGCAAAUAUUUGUGGGUCAUUUUUCUCUUCAUACCCUAUAACUGGAUCUUUUUCUAGAUCAGCUGUAAAUCAUGAGAGCGGGGCCAAAACUGGAUUGUCAGGAAUUACAAUGGGAAUUAUUAUGGGAUGUGCUCUUUUGUUUAUGACACCACUGUUUAGUCAAAUACCUCAGUGUGCCCUAGCUGCAAUUGUGAUAUCUGCUGUAAUGGGUCUGGUGGAUUAUGAAGAAGCCUUAUUCUUGUGGCGUAUAGAUAAAAAAGAUUUUCUUCUCUGGACAAUCACUUGCAUUACAACAUUAGUCUUGGGUAUUGAGAUUGGUGUUAUUGUUGGGGUUGGCUUCUCGCUUGCAUUUGUCAUCCAUGAAUCCGCAAAUCCACACAUAGCUGUAUUGGGGCGUCUUCCCGGAACAACCGUUUACAGAAAUAUUCUACAGUAUCCUGAAGCAUAUACAUAUAAUGGAAUAGUUGUUGUUCGAAUUGAUGCACCUAUUUAUUUUGCAAACAUCAGCUAUAUCAAAGACAGGCUACGGGAAUAUGAACAUAAUCUUUCAGGAACCGUAAACCGUGGACCGGAUGUUGGGAGGAUAUAUUUUGUAAUCCUUGAGAUGUCACCUGUUACAUAUAUAGACUCCAGUGCUGUUCAAGCUCUGAAAGACCUUCAUCAGGAGUACAAUUCACGUGGUAUCCAGAUUGCAGUUGCAAACCCAAACCAGGAAGUUCACCGGUUACUUUCAAGAUCUGGCCUCAUAGACCUGAUUGGUAAGGAGUGGUGUUUUGUGAGGGUCCACGAUGCUGUACAAGUUUGCCUACAACAUGUGCAGCACUUGAAUGGGAAAACGCCAAAGGUGGUAGACAGGACUCCUAGAAGGCAGUUGAGUUCCCUGCAGAACCUAUGGAGACAUGAAGGUGGAGGUGACUCCAUGGUGGAGCCACUAUUGCAGCAACAGGAAGUAUGAAAGUGUUUACUCUCAUAGCUUGUCAUUGUUGGAACUGUGAAAUGUAAAUACAGCUUGUAAGGAGAGCCAGGACACUCUGAGACUCACUUCAAUUUGUAGUCAUUACCAUAAGAGAUGGUUUUACACGGAGGCAAUGUAGGAGACAUGGUGCCAAAUGGCAAAUUACUUGUGGAAUUUGAUCGUUCGAUGGAAUGGCUAUCUACUGUGGAUUCCAUAUACCAGCAGACAGAGCAAUAAACAUACACAAGGCAUCUUCCACCCAUGUGGAUUUUGUUUUAUAGGCACACGAGGACCAGUACAAAAAAAGUUUCCAGUUUGAUUGGCUAUCAAACAUAGAUUGGGAGCAGCCAGGCUUAUACAAAGUGGUUCACAUCUCUCCUAUGUUCGGAGGUCAUAGAUAAUCAAUCUUGUUGAGGAGGAGCAGUCCUGUUGGAGGAGACAUUUAUGAGACCGUGCAAACAGUGUAGAAGCUCAUGAAUUUUGUAUAUACAUAACCUAGGAGUUCUUUUUGUAUUUAGCCUUGUGUUUAUGUUCAUUAGAUAAGUCACA